ensembl:lncRNA
GCAUUUUGCAGCUGAUUUAAGAGCAAGAAAGGAACAAACCCGAUCUGAUGUCUUUACUGCAGAGAUCAAUCCACAUCCUUCCUAGGGCAGGAAGAGCAGGUGACUGGGACACCGGACGUUUGGCAAGCUGGUGGCCUUCCUGCUUUGGCAUGCUUUGCUGGGGUUUUCAUGAAAAGACAAUGACCUUUAUAAAAAACAAUGACCUUUGCAGAGAUCUUCAGACCCUGGCAACUCAGCAGUGAGCUCAGUUCCAAAACCAUUCCUAUUGCCUUUCCCAACAGAGUUGAACAAUUGGAAAGAAAGACUUUUAAAAAAAUUCACCGAAGUUUUUGGCAAAGCUUAGGAGCUCUCUCCCCCACCCUGUAAUUAAAGCAGAAGUAAAUAGUAAAAGGAUAUCAAAUUACAGCUCACAUUGGCAAUAGGUGCCCAGGUGGAGGAGCUGCUGCUUGUACAGACCUGUGCCUUGAGGCAGAAGGGCAGCCAUUCCGGGGAGCACUCCACUGGGUCCCCAGAUCUAACAUGUCAAGAUUAAGACCUGAGGAUUUGGAGGCUGAGAGGCAAGAAAGGAGGUCACGUCCUGCACACUACCUAGCACCUUUCCUGGAAGAGGUCUUACUAUGCAGCUCAAGCUGGCCUUGAACUCAAAUGUAGCCCAAGCUGGCCUCGAAUUUAAGGCAAUCCUCCUGCCUCAGCUUCCUGAGUGCUGGGCCCAUUUUCAUUCUUGUUGAUAUUAUUAAUAUUGGCUCAUGUUAUGACAUAUAAUGUUUGCAUUCAUUGAGAUAAUUGGGUGCCCAUACAUUGCAUAUCUUUAUUCUACUCAUUUUCCCUUCCUCUUCCCCUCACUCCUCACCCUGAGUCCCUUUGACCCCUUCCCACUUGCAAGAGAUCCAUCUCCCUGUCUCCUUCUAUCCAUUCUGUAUUAAUCUCUUUGUUUGUACUUUGCCUCACUCAAAUGAGAGAUAUCAUACAAUAUGUAAGCUUCUGUGUCUGGUUUAUUUCAUUCAACAUUAUAUUUAUCAGGUCCAUCCAUUUGUCUACAAAGGUCUCAAAUUUGUCCUUCUUUAUAGCCAAGUAGUAUUCCAUUAUGUAUAGAUACCUCAUCUUCUUUUUCAAUUGUCUGUGGAUGAGUGUCCAGGCUGCUUCCAGGAUUUAGCUAUCAUGAAUUGUGCUGCUAUAAACAUUAGUGUGCAUGUAUAGCUGUAGUAGGAUGUCUUAAGUUCUUUGGGGAAGAUACCUAGAAAGGGGAUAGCUAGGUAAUAUGAGAUAUCAAAUUUUAGUUCUCUGAGAAAUCUCUAUACUGAUUUUCAUAAUUUCAUAAUGGUUGUACUAGUUUACAUUCCCGCCAACAAUGUAGGAAGGCUCCUUUUACACCACAGCCUCACCAGCAUUUGUUACUUUUGGAUUUAUUGAUGAUUACCAUUCUUUCUGGAGUAAGAUGGAAACUUAGAGUUAUUUUUUUUAAAUUUGCAUUUCUCUAAUAGCCAGAGAUGUUGAACACUUUUUCAUAUGUUUGUUGGCCAUUUGUACUUCUUCCUCUGUGAAGUGUCUGUUCAUUUCACUUGCCCAAUUCUUGACCGAGUCUUUUAUUUUAAGUGGUCUAAUAGUUUUGAGUUCUUUAUAUACUGUAUUCUAGAUAUUAGUCCUUUGCCUGAGAAAUAGCUAGCAAAAUUUUUUUCCCAUUCUGUAGGUUGUCUCUUCACUCAACUAAUUAAUUCUUUUACAUUCUGUUGUGUAAAUAAAAUCCCCAUCCCAUAUUCAUUCUAGUUGUUUUCCCUCAGUCAAUUGGAUACAAUUUACAAAGUAACUAGCAGUUCCUUUAAUGGGACCCGAUUUCCUCCUUUCACUCAGUAAUAGAUAAGGCUUAGCUCAGUCUGGCUUACAGAGGUGCAUAGUAAAUGUUUGUUCCCUUUCCACCACUUUUGCCUAAACUGUUAGAGAGAUGUAAAGCAAUUUUACCUAAGAAGAAAUAGCUUUGUCUUAAACACUAUAUUAUUUAAUCAUUACUCAAAAAUACAUAUCACAAUAAAUGAUAUUAUAAAAUAUUCACUGAAAGUUUACCAUAUUCUAGGAAUUUUACUAAGUUUAUCACAUACUUUAUCUCACUCGAUUGUUCAGCAACUCUUUGUCAUAUAAUCAUACUCAUUUUAUAGGUGAGAAAUCUGAGCCUGGAGUAAAUUCUUGCUCAAAGUAGUAAGUGGCAAAUCUACAACAACUUGUUCUAAACUCUAUUUCCAGUGGUCAUGUCUUAAUCACAACAAAAUAUCCUUUUGCAAUGCAAUCCUUCCCUGUGAUAGCAUCUGCAGAGGAAGCAAAAUGUAUGUGGGAUAUCCCACCUGCCCUUGGGAGGCUCACGGGGUAACCCCAACACACACUCCAUAAACAGCUUCAUAAGAACACAUACCUGUGAUCAUUUUUGUAUCCAUGUGCCAAGUAUUCAAAGGAAGGAUCCUUGUCCUCAGUUAAAUGGAGUAAGAUUUGAGAUAGUACUCACAGAAUGCUUUCUUCCCUAGGGAGUAAAACCUUGAACCAGAAUUUCCCACUUUUGUCCCUGUUUUUUGGUGGCCUAGUAUAAGUGAUCAAAUUCUUAAUCACUUAGACUAUUGAAUUUUCUCAGAAUGUAAAUAUCUAAAUUUUGAGUCCAUGUGUAUGUGUUAAUUGUGUAAAUAAAUCACUGGUUUUUAAUGCCCUCCUUUGGGAGGUGGUGAGUGGAAGGGAAAAUCAAGCAGAGAAUAAGGACUCAAAAGAAAUUAUCUGUGGUGUGCCAUUUAUGAAAAUGCAUUUAUCAAAAUAUUUUUCAUUUGAAAAUUAGGGGCAAGUAUUGUCUGACUUAGCUGUUAAGGAAAUUCCUAUAAAUACCCAGAGAUAUAAAGUUGUGCUUGAAGGAACUACAGAAAAGCAACACGCUAUUUUAAUUCAUUGUUUAAUAUAGGCAGACUCUAACUUGUUCUAAAAAUGAAUUUUGUACUUUGACAGUUUUUUGAUUCAUGUAGCAUACACAAACAAAGUGACAUUGAAAAGUACAGAAUCUUAAAGAACUGCAUCCUUUGGGUUUUUCCAGACUAAACAAAAGUUGCAAGUAUGGCCAGAUAAAAAGAAUUUUGUAAGCCUCCCUGUCCCACACUAUACCUUCCUAUCAGAAGACCAAAUUUGAAAUAAAUAGUAUGCAAGAAUGUUGGAUCAAGAGCUUUGCAGUAUUUCUAUUCAUGUUACACCUCUUGGCUUUGGACAGAGUGCAAGAAUUUAACCAUGCUGUGGCAUAGGUUUGUUGGAAUUCAGGCAGUGUUUCCUCUAGAUUGCAAUAGAUUCUUUCCAUGAAAAAUAUUUUUCUAGGCAAGUAGUUCCAUACUUUAUUAGCUUCAAGGACCUACAAAGUCAAAUGGAGAUAAACUUUAGUUGGGAGAAAAUAAAUAGGAAUUUCUAGAAGACACAGACCACAGCCAGUUGGGGAAAUAUCAUUUGGCACCACUGUUGGGAACCUGCUAUCAAAGCAAUGUUGGUGUGCUGUGAACCAAACCCUCUCUAGCCUUUCCUUACCACUCACAGUCAUUAUCUAACAACAAGCCAGCCCACCAUUGGGAAGGCAUAUUAUAAACACAUAAAUAUCUGAGGCUACUAAGUCUUUUUCACUUUCUUUUCAGUACUGAGCUAUCAGAGUCACCAAGCUCUUUUCACUACUUUCUCUUUAAGCCACACAAAGCAUAGAUGAAGAGAUUUUUGUUUCAGAAGUCUGACUGUACUGAAGUCACUGCUGUUUUCUUGUGUAGGCCUGGAAACAUGGUAUACACUCUGAGUGGGAGCAGGGCUCCUGUCCUUACUCUGGAGGCUGGUUCCCUGAAGCUGGCCUUCAACUCCCCAGAAGUAGAUUGUGUAGGACAUGCUUUCAAAGUUUCUACAUCCAGACUUCUCAGCAAUGCCUCUUCUGAUUCGGAACUUGACUGGGCCACCAAAGUUCUGAGUUUAAAACAAGCAGGCUGAAUAGGGAAUACUUGUAGAGAUAUUAUUUCUUUGGCUGGUUUCCUUCUGUCCACCUUCCUUGUUCCUAUAUUAUUUCUUCUAUUUUCUCCUUCUUCUCUGUCUUUUCCAUCUUAUUCUAUUCUGUUCCUUCUCUAG